ACGAACGCUGGCGGCGUGCCUAAUACCUGCAAGUAGAACGCUGAAGGAGGAGCUUGCUCUUCUGGAUGAGUUGCGAACGGGUGAGUAACGCGUAGGUAACCUGCCUGGUAGCGGGGGAUAACUAUUGGAAACGAUAGCUAAUACCGCAUAAGAGUAGAUGUUGCAUGACAUUUACUUAAAAGGUGCAAUUGCAUCACUACCAGAUGGACCUGCGUUGUCUUAGCUAGUUGGUGGGGUAACGGCUUACCAAGGCGACGAUACAUAGCCGACCUGAGAGGGUGAUCGGCCACACUGGGACGGAGACACGGCCCAGACGCCUACGGGAGGCAGCAGUAGGGAAUCUUCGGCAAUGGACGGAAGUCUGACCGAGCAACGCCGCGGGAGGGAAGAAGGAUGUCGGAUCGUAAAGCUCUGUUGUAAGGGAAGAACGAGUGUGAGAGUGGAAAGUUCACACUGUGACGGUAUCUGACCAGAAAGGAACGGCUAACUACGUG
rnacentral:rRNA from 1 species